CGACCCCAUAGACGGCAGCCCACCAGGCUCUGCUGUCCCUGGGAUUCUCCAGGCAAGAACACUGGGGUGGGUUGCCAUUUCCUUCUCCAGUGCAUGCAAGUGAAAAGUGAAAGUGAAGUCGCUCAGUCGUGCCCGACUCUUCGCGACCCCAUGGACCGCAGCCUACCAGGCUCCUCCUUCCAUGGGAUUCUCCAGGCAAGAAUACCGGAAUAGGUUGCCAUUUCCUUCACCUGGAUUUGAACAAAUAUAAAAUGACAUGUAUCCAUCAUUAUAAUGUCAUACAGAGUAUUUUCAUGGCCCUAAAAUUCCUCUGUGGUUCUUGAUUAGGUAUUUCCUCAUGUGGUCCAACAUUAAAACAUUCAAAAGUCUCCCUUCCAGACAGUCCCAUAGCCACCCAGUUCCAUUCCACCCAGAGACCACCCAUGUGUUACUUUUUUGAAUAUACAUUUGGAGAUAUUUUAUACACAUAAUAUGGGAGAGCAAAUUGAUGAGAGGUAAAGUGAAACAUGAAAUAUAGAAGUAAUAACAGGUUGGCAUCAAAAACAGAACUGAAAGUACACACACAGGGAAAAAUCAGAUAGGUUUGCUUGACGCCAGCUGAGCUUAUGAGAUAUAAUGUAAAGCAACCACCUGGCUCUUUGCAUGAUUUGGGUCACGGAUGCACAAGGUAGGCUGCACACAUCUGGAAGGAAGGCAGUUUGCAUCAGAGCCAUCACCAAGAUGAUUAGAGAGUACUUCUGAAGCUGAAAUCAUGCGAAGGAACCUCUUUCUUGGAAUCUUCAGACGACGUUGGGUUGAUUUGUCUUCACAACACCUUUUCACCUGUCUUCACCCACUGUGAAGUUCUGCAGAAUUUGGCAUCCAUUGCAAAGAACACCUCAUGGUCCAAAAUGGCUGCUUUAGCUCUAGCCAUCAUAUCCUCAUUCCAAGCCACAAAGGAUAAAGCAGAGAACUGAACAGGGCCCGCAAUCCUGCAUGUGCUUUUCAAUAAUCCCAUGACUAGUCAGUGAGGAUGGAGCAGUGACCCCAAGACAGAAGACUUCAUUUGGCAUGACUCACCCUUGGAGACAUCCAGCUCGCCUGGCGUGUGUUGUUAAGUGCCUGGUUCUGUAAAUAUUGACAGUCAGAAACCAUCCUGAGAGCUAGGAAGCAAUGACCUUGCUUCGUAGGAAGUGACUCCUCUGCUGAUGUGUGACUCAGAGUUGAUAUAUUAUGGGGUCUGAUUCAGCAAGGAAAGUUUGGUCUGCCACCGCAGAGAACAACAUCCAAGGCCACUUCGGUUUCCAGGAUACUGGUUUCUUGACAAGUGUGGCAUUAAGAAGGAAAAGCUCAGAAGGAGUCUCCAUAUUUGAGAAACUGAAGCAGGUGUGGAGGGAUAAAGAGCAGAACAGUGCAUUAAAAAAAUAAAAUUUAUUUAUUUA